rnacentral:lncRNA from 1 species
AGAAAAAACCAAAAAAAAAAAAAAAAAAAAAAAAAAAAAAAAAAAAAAAAAAACAAAAAAAAAAAAAAAAAAAAAAAAAAAAAAAAAAAAAAAAAAAAAAAAAAAAAAAAAAAAAAAAAGAAUAAGAAGAAAAACCAAAAUAAAAUGAAACAUUUAUUUAUAAGAAAACAAAACUUACCGCAUACACUAGAGAUAACAUAAUAUUACAACUAUGUCUAUGAAGUAAUCAAAAUAGUAGAAAGAAACAUACACCUCCUGACUAAAUAAUAUACUACUGUUUAUUAUAUCAAGUUCAUAUAUAUGUUAUUCAAUCACUUUGAAUUUAAUUGCUAGGCCGUUAAAAUAACAUUAACUAAUUAUACAACUAAUUUAUAUUUUAUCUUAAACAAAUGAUUUUCAAAAAUAUGUGUUUUCAAAUUUAUUUUUCCAUACAAAUUUUAUAAUCACUAAACUAAUACUUUUUUCUUUACUUUUUAUCUAUAAUUCAAUCACAUUAUUUUAAAUUAUUGUUUAAUCAAUGGAAGACACGCGUUUUAUAUGUACCCUGAGACUAAUAUAUAUAAUAAAGAUAGCACCAAUGUCAGCCCGCUGUUGCUAAAUAAGUGAACAAUUGAACAACAUAUGCUUAUUUAGUUCAUGGGGCUAAACUUGCAAACAAUUUAACAAGAUAGAUAGAACGGAGAUAGUACCAAAUUUAGCUCGGCAUGACUAAACUUAUUUUUUCCCCAAAGGUGGAUAGAAUGAAGAUAUUACUUGUCUGAAAUAGUUCAGAAGUAGGUGGUAGUCCAAAUAUUUUUAAAAAUUGGUUACAAGAUAAAUAGCGGUGUCCAAAUAGGGUACCCAGUGCAAAUUUUACCCUUAAAUGAGACUAUUUGUGCAAAUCUCCCAGUAAUUUCUCAUUUGGGCCGAUGCUUUCAUCCGCUACACACACAAUUGGGCCGAAAAUAUUUACCCAUUUAAGUUUGGGUUUGAGGGUCACUUUAUAAGGCAGCCGCAGAACUUCAUUGUUAUCAAACCCUAGUGUCUCUCGAAACCCUCAGUUUCUGCUUUCAUUUUCAGCAGGUAGCCGAUCUGAAGACGGCGUCGUCGACCGGUAAACAUGGUACACGUCGCCUUUUACCGCAACUGUAUGUUUCCUUAAUCUCAUUGGUUCAUUUCCUAUUUUUAAUUCUGUAUUUGUCAAAAGCUCUUUUAGUUUUCUAGAAAUUUGUAUAUCAAUGAUAAAUGUGGAGAGAAUUUAGUGUUAGAAACAUCUAGUUUGAGUUAAAAUAUAAAUUAAUGAGUAUCGGAAUAAAUCAGCUCCAAAUGUAGCUGAGUGGAUCAAGCUUAAGUUAGGGUUUGAGUAGUCACUGCUGUAACUUUGUGGUAAUGCUGAUAUUAGUUUGAAUAUAAGCAAAACUAAAGUCUGUUCUGAUGGUAUUAUGGCCUGAGGAUAAAGUGGUAGAGCCAAUCAAGAAAAUAUAAAAAUAUCGUCAGUGAAAUGGGAGGAGAACCAAGAGAUUUCAGGUUCAUAUUCUAGUGGAGCAAAAACACUAGUUGGUUUCUUCUUAUUUGCUAAUGAAUAUAGUGUUAUCCAAAACAGAAAAGUUGAAGGCUUGCUAAUCAUUCUGUUUCAUUUUUAACGUUUAGGUGUAGUAUGAUGGUAUUUUCAGCUUAAGUGACAGUUCCCACAGUAUAGUAAGAAAUCCAAUAGUUUGGUUAAAAAAUUUCAUUUUGAAAUUUCCCUAAAAACAAGUGUAGACUCUCUACAAUGGGAAACCAGAUCAGCAGUCUCAGCUUAUUAGGUUGGUAGCUCCUCUUUUUUUCCGUGGGUGGGUGGGGGUUUGGCGGUUUUGGGGGAUUGGGCAUACGUUACUGGUACAUCACAAACGAAAAAAGGGGUUUUAAGCCUAUGUUGAUUUGCGACGCUGGUGUGUAAUCAGGUGGGAAUGGUAUUUUCAGCUCAAGUGACAGUUGCCACAGUAUAAUAACAAAGCCAGUUGUUUGAUUUAAAUUUUACAUUUGGAAAUUUUCCUAAAAGCAAAUUUUCAUUCUCUAAGUCUGGAACUUUUUGUUUGGUUGUCUAAUUUGUAUCUCUCUUUCAUUUACAAUGCAAACCAGAUCAGCAGUCUCAACUAAUUAAUCUGCAACUGCAUAAGCGUCUUUUCUAUUAUAUGUUCAUCUUUUAAAAUUUAAGCCUAUUUUCAUAACAAUGUGGGAUGGCCUAGUGGAAGGAAACUUCCAUGCUGAGGGGUUUUGGGGGAUUGGGGCAGACUUUACUAUCUCACAAAAAGGGUUUUUUAAGCCUAUGUUGGUCUGCGAUUCGCGUUUGUAAUCAGAUGGGAAGACUUUUAAGAAACCUCGACGUCCCUUUGAGAAGGAGAGAUUGGAUGCAGAGUUGAAGCUCGUUGGAGAGUAUGGACUGAGGUGCAAGAGGGAACUGUGGAGAGUCCAGUAUGCUUUGAGCCGUAUCAGGAAUGCUGCAAGAAUGCUUCUGACCCUUGAUGAGAAAGAUCCACGUCGUAUUUUUGAAGGUGAAGCACUCUUGAGGAGGAUGAACAGGUAUGGUUUGUUGGAUGAGAGCCAGAACAAGCUCGAUUAUGUCUUGUCACUCACUGUUGAGAACUUCCUUGAGCGUCGUCUGCAAACCCUUGUCUUCAAGACUGGCAUGGCUAAGUCAAUCCAUCAUGCUAGAGUGCUCAUUAGGCAAAGGCAUAUCAGGUAAAAAUAGAUUCUCUCUUUUAGUUAUGGCUAAGUCGAUCCACCAUGCUAGAGUGCUCAUUAGGCAAAGGCAUAUCAGGUAAAUAUAGCUUAUCUCUUUUAGUCACAAAUUUCAAAUAAGUAAGCUGUUCUUUUGCCCUGACUUUGAGGUGUUUGCUAGAAUUGCAUUUUUUCUGUUCAAAUUUUGUCGAAAGAUGUUUAACACUUGUGUCUGAUUUAGAAUAACAAUUUUGGCUGAAGUGCUUAGUAGAUAGUUGUCCUCCUUGUAUUCUUGGCUUUCGCAAAGUAUUUUUAGCUUCCCUUCUAAUAAAAAUAAAAUAAAGAGUGUCUCAUAUUCUCACUGAUAUUUCUCAAUAAUAGAAUAGGAAUUUCUAGUCCAAAUUGCAGAACAAGAAUACUUGUUUGCAAGUAAUUCUGUGAUCUUCUCCGUUAGUCAAAGUUGAGCAAUAUUAACCCAGUGAGCUCUUUGUACUGCUAGUUUUCCAAUAUUGAAUCUUGGUUGAAUGUUAAACUGUGUUUGCAAACUAGGAUGAUUUUGGUAAGGAUUUGUUUAAUCUUUUCACUUUGCUUUAUAGGUCCUAUUUAAUUGUGCCAUUUAUAUUCUUCAUAGAUGUGUUUUAGAGCUCUAAAUUGCUAGGUUUCUAGGAGCCAAAUGUUUAUUUGUACAUUUCACUUGUUAUAAGACCUCCAAGUUCGCAGAAAGAUGGAGAGGUGUAUUUUGCAUUGAUGGCUAAGCAUGGUGAUAGAUUAAAGGAUCUUUGGAAGCUUGGGCGUAGCCUAUAUAUUCCCUUAGCAGUACAUAUCAGAUUCACACUUGGCAAAGAUCAUUAU